rnacentral:lncRNA from 1 species
UCCUGGGCAUAAUUUAUUUUUUUUUUGCAUAGGCAUAAAUUAGAAUCUGGAGAUAAAAAAUUCAGAACCAAUAGUGCAGCAUUUGUGACAGGAGAGCGCAAAAUGAAACCUGGUUGUCUGGGGGGGGGGGGGGGGGGGGGGGGGGGGGGGCNGGGGGCUGAGCUGGGGCCAGUGCCAAAGGCCCACAGGUGGCCUUAGGCCUCACCUUCCUUCUAGCUCCAUCCCCUUGGAGCCCAUUUGGGGCUCAGCCCUGUUCUUACGGCACCUGCCCGCACCGCAGCCCCCCCUGGCAGCCAGGUUACAAGGAACUGAAAUCACCCGGUGCCCCACAGAACGGGGCUAGGAAUCAAGCCCAAAGCUUUUCAGUUAAAAAACAGACCUUGAAAAAUAUAUACAUAAUACAGCAGAGUCUGCUGGGUCUCAAAGCCCUCUCUUCCCCCAGCCCACACCCCUGACAGCACCCCACCCCCCCUAGAAAACGAGCCAGAAAGGAAACAAUCUGAGCAAGAGCUGAGAGUCUCAAGGGAGUAGCUGAGCCCCUUACAGUCAGGUGGUGGUGGGACAAGGCCCACAGUGCGGACAGGCCUCUUCCCACCACGACAUCCUGAAUGUCACCAUCAUUCUCAUUGGACCAUCCCGAGAGUCUGGGGAGUAUGCUGCUCCCCACCCUUUUAAGCUUACCCCAGCUGCUUAUGGCCUCAAAAGGCAGGUCUGGGCUCCCUGCACCUUGGGGGAAUGUGGCAAGCUUGCUCUGGGGCACAGGCAUGCCCUAGCAGGAAUGGGGAGCAGAGUGGGCCUCGGUCCCAACAUCAGGGGAGAGAGAAAGCACUAACCCCAGCAGAGGGGGAAUCCUACUGGCUGCCCCCGUGACCCCUCAGAGCCAGAGAGGCAGCCUCCCUUAGAGGCUCCUAGGAGCCCGACCCUCAAGGGUAUGAGAAGCCCCGUGGCCCACUCUGACCCAGAACACAUACAGUGUAGAGAGAGGCCUUUGGGGGACGUUAGGGGGUCAAGCUCCAUAGGUUGAUGGCACUAGAUUUCUGGAAGAGCCCGGCUGCCCUGCACAAGCAGCUUCCUGCCUGGGGCUCAGCCCCAGCCUGCACUGUGAGCACCUUCCUCCUAGAGGACGUCACUUCCCUGCCAGGUGAUAGGGGCAGCUCACCUGCCCCAGGCCCUUGCUUGUCCCACCCAUGGCUUUGGCACCUGCUUCAUUCACACGCCUACCAACCGCAGCUCCUUGGGUGCCAGCCCCCCAUCCUGGGUAAGGGGCAGACAGGUUUCACCCACCUCUGCUGGGACGACAUAUGUCCACUCACUGCCUCUCCCCCUGCCUCACGAUCCCCCAUGAUAUGCUACAUAUAUACACCCUCCCAAGAGGGGGAAGUAGACACCCAGUGCCUGGCACAAGGAGGUCACAAAAAGGGACGCUGGAACUUGCUGUCUACCUCGAGCUGCCCCGCGCUAGGAAAGCCCUGCAUAUUCUUUCUUGUCUCCAUCGGGCCAGAGGUUCUUGCUCCUGGAAGUCAGUGCGCUGGUCAAGCAUGUGGGGAAGGGGCAGGGGUGCUGCUCUCCCACUCCCAGAGAAGGGGGCACGUGCUGGGAGGGGCUGGCCUCCCAGCUGGCUGGCAGCAGCACAGAGAAGGCCUAGUGGGUGGGUUCCCCAUGCACCCGGAAGCGGUAGAUGCAGGUGUACUCGGGGUGGCCCCAGUUAGUCAAGAUCCGAAGCUCCACCACCUGGUAUGUGGCCAUUUUAGUGUCCUGGGUAGAGAAAGAAGGUGUUAAGAGUGUCCCAAGCCCUCAGACCUCGCUGACAGGAGGGCAGAGAGGGGGACAGCCACCCCCAGGGUCCGAUGCCUCCCUCCCCCACCCCUCCCAUAGGCCUCCACAGCGAACUGGACUGCAAAGCUCCUGUCUUCAGAUCGUGGAGCAGAGUUUCCAGCUUGUGGGCCAAGGAGUCCCAGGGGCUUCAGAGGUCCUCUAGGGGCCAUGACCCACAGCCACAUAAAAAUGGCCUUGUAGCUGAGGACCAGCCAGAUUCAUUCCAGACAGAUUCACAGGAGCUCUUUAUCAUGGUCAAGGGACACAAUCACUGUCACAGAGGAUCUGAUACAUGUUGACGGUGGAAAAGAAUCCUUUUACUCUGAAUUAGGCAGAGUUUUCUUCCUCAAGUUCUUAGCAGGCCUCUGUCCUCUUUGCUCCAAAAGCCACGAUUUUUGAGCUUUCGGAGCAAAUGGCCCCCAGUUCGACGCCAACAGACACAGCGCUUUCCCGUUCCCUUCCCGUCCUCUGGCCUUCCGCACAGCCGCUUUUCCUCCACUGUCUCCUAAAGGCUCGGUCAGCACACAUGCCCCGGACGUCCUAGGCACUCCCAUGGCUCAGUCUUUGGUCCCCUGGUGGCUGCAUGGGACUGGCCCACAGGUGCCUCAGACUUGGUGGCCAAACCCACUCCUGCAUUAGCCUGCCUCUUGGCACCUGGGACAGUCCUCCCCUCCACCUUCUCCACUUCUGUCCAGUCUGACACUUGCAACUGUGUAUCUACCUCCUCUCCAUCCUCACUCCCGACACUCUCCGCAGCCACUUCCUGACCGGUCUUGUCCCCUGGGUGCACCGUUCACACGGUCACAUGAUCUGACUACAGCGCACAGUCUUGUCACUUCUCUGCCUAAAACGUGGCAGUGCCCACCCCAGCCCCGAGGGCCAGAACUCUUUGGCCUGGUAGCCAGGCCUGCCCCUCUCCGGCCUCCCUUCCCACCACUGUCCCUUUGCCACCUCACCCAAUUCUUCACCCCUAGUGUAGCUCUCAAGCCCCCGGCACAGCUUUCAACUGGGCUGUCAGAACAUUGAUUUCUUGGGGCUGCCGGGAUCUGGGAGCCUAUCUCCUGGGGUGGAGACUGGCAAUCUGCAUUUCUAACAAGGCCCUGGGAGACUGAUGCCCAUUCAAAUUGAGGCCAGAAGUCUCCCUCAGAGCCCUAGCCGUGCGGCACUGCCUGAGGCCUAGGAGGAGCACCCUCUGACAACUGCCCCUGGCUCCCCGUCCGGGAUGGGCCCCUCUGUGUGGAUGUCUAUGUGGUGCCUCUCCUGUGCCACUUGGACAGCUGUCCCUGUUCCUUGCCUCGAACUGUGGGGAGGCAGGGGCUGUGCCUAUUCUUGACCUGAGCCCGCGGUGCCUGACACGGAGUAAGUGCUUGGAAACCAUCUGCCGAACGGACAGGAAGCUGAAUAUACCAUUCCGCUGGCACAGCGGAGUCCCAUACCUGAAAAUAAAAGGUCUGAAUGGGCUCCCCAUCCUGGUCGUAGGUGAACUGGCCAAGAAGUGUCCCCUCUUGCUGCGCAUCUUCAUCAAAUCCCUGAAAAGAGAACAAAGGAUGGAGGGAAGAUCUUGCUCUUAGACAAGUGCCCCAGUCACCCGGGGAAGAAUGCUCUCCCUUCCUGUUCCCACACUGGGUCCCCCGCCCCCGAGCAGAUCAGCGCCAGCCUUGGUAGGACUACAGGGGCCUGAGCACUGGACGUGGGUUCUUCCAGCGCAGCCUAAGCUACCAUUUCCCAGGCUGGGGCUAUCCCUUCCAGAUCUGCCCCCUUCCUCCCAAAUAACGGUCCUGGCUCUAUCCUUAGUAAAGACUCACAGGGUCCCGUAGCCCCUCUGACCCCCCAAAGGUAGAAUACUCACAAAGAUGGCAAAGUCCUUGGGGGCACUGGAGAUGGUGCUGUUGGGGGACAAGGACUUGGGGACAUGCUCUAAGGUGACAGCAGUGGGGCGGAUGCGGGCAGAAAGGCGAACCACAGCAAAGCCCUGGGGCCCCUGGAAGGCCCAGCAGUUGCCUGGGUGCACAUCUGGCUGGGGGGACGAGGAGGAAAGGAAGUCACAUCAGCACGGGGCGGGUGACAAAGACGGCCCACCCUGAGCACGGCUUUUGCUGGCUCAGGACGGGAGUCACCCAGCUACGUAGGCGACCUGCUCGGGGCCCCUGCUGCUGCCCUCACGGGUACCUACCUGGAGAAUGACUCGGGGCGACUGGGAAUGGUACCACAGGGGGAUGCCGAAGAGACUGAGGAGGGCCGUCUUGGUCUCAUAGGUCUCAGAACAUCGGGUGCUGAUAACACUAGCCCCU